AAACUGAGACUGGCUGCCAUAUGUUUGAUAAAAGUCUUCAAUGAGACAAAGGAGUUUGGCUUAAGCUACCAGUUGAACGAUCUGAGUUUGUUCCAAUUGCUGUGAAGAGAUGUCAAAUUUCUGAGACAAAUCAUUUGGUUACAAGAGGGGUUCGAAUACCAACAUGCUGAACGAGGAUACGUUAUGUUGAUUUACUAGAUUCCUGAGGGCCCUUCUAUGCUUCCUAGUAAUGUUUCACACCAAGUUUGGGUCGGGGGAUUUGUCAUCAAUGACAAAAAUGAGCUACAAGACAAUUCGAAAUCUUCUUCAGGAGAAGUGGAAGUGAAGUUUCAACUCACUAA